rnacentral:rRNA from 1 species
AAUCAACGCUGGCGGCGUGCCUCAGACAUGCAAGUCGAACGAUUAAAGCUCUCUUCGGAGAGUGUAUAGAGUGGCGCACGGGUGAGUAACACGUAAGUAAUCUACCUUCGAGUGGGGAAUAACAACCGGAAACGGUUGCUAAUACCGCAUAAUGCAGCGGCACCGCAAGGUGACAGUUGUUAAAGAUUUAUCGCUUGAGGAGGAGCUUGCGGCAGAUUAGCUAGUUGGUAGGGUAACGGCUUACCAAGGCUACGAUCUGUAACCGGUCUAAGAGGACGGUCGGUCACACUGACACUGAAUAACGGGUCAGACUCCUACGGGAGGCAGCAGUCGGGAAUUUUGGGCAAUGGGCGAAAGCCUGACCCAGCAACGCCGCGUGAAGGAUGAAGUAUUCGGUAUGUAAACUUCGAAAGAAUAGGAAGAAUUAAUGACGGUACUAUUUAUAAGGUCCGGCUAACUACGUG